AAGUCGUAACAAGGUUUCCGUAGGUGAACCUGCGGAAGGAUCAUUAACACGUAUCCAAACGUUAAACAACCCCGUGAACAUACAACCUGCUCUGGUCGCCCGCUCGCAUGGACAAGCCCAGUAAAUCAAGCCCCGGAAAGUUUUUGAUUUGGGACCUCUGUGCGCGUGAGAAAAACUGACAGCGAUUCAUAGAAGCGGUAGGUCAAGUGACACGGCGUCCCCAAGUGACCAGUAAGAUUGCUAGAGGUCGACCACCGACCGGCUUCCGUGUAUACCGAGCUAACACCGCUCCCUUCCGAACCCCACUUUAUUGCCUUGCCUGUAAGCAUCCAUACGGAUGGGCAGGCCCCCCGAACAACUGUUAACAAUGGAUAUCUUGGUUCUC
rnacentral:misc_RNA from 1 species